rnacentral:rRNA from 1 species
UACGUAGGGUGCGAGCGUUAAUCGGAUUUAUUGGGCGUAAAGCGAGCGCAGGUGGUUUAUUAAGUCUGGUGUAAAAGGCAGUGGCUCAACCAUUGUGUGCAUUGGAAACUGUUAGACUUGAGUGCAGUAGAGGAGAGUGGAAUUCCAUGUGUAGCGGUGAAAUGCGUAGAUAUAUGGAGGAACACCGGUGGCGAAAGCGGCUCUCUGGACUGUAACUGACACUGAGGCUCGAAAGCGUGGGUAGCAAACAGG